CUGGGACUAAUAAAGAAGGGGUGUGCAGUGGCUGCACACAGUAACCUCCUCGGUAGUGUAUGCAGCCUGGUGCUUGUGUAGGCUGCCCUAGGGGACCUUGGAGACACUC
rnacentral:snoRNA from 1 species